rnacentral:snRNA from 1 species
GGAUGUGAGGGCGAUCUGGCUGCGACAUCUGUCACCCCAUUGAUCGCCAGGGUUGAUUCGGCUGAUCUGGCUGGCUAGGCGGGUGUCCCCUUCCUCCCUCACCGCUCCAUGUGCGUCCCUCCUGAAGCUGCGUGCUCGGUCGAAGAGGACGACCAUCCCCGCUAGAGGAGGACCGGUCUUCGGUCAAGGGUAUACGAGUAGCUGCGCUCCCCUGCUAGAACCUCCAAACAAGCUCUCAAGAAAGAAUUUGGGAGAAUUCCCUCUCUUUAAAUUGUUUUGAGUAACUUGAGAAGAAUUGGAGUUAGUUUUUAAAUGUCAGGUAGAAUU